rnacentral:rRNA from 1 species
AUUGAACGCUGGCGGCAUGCCUUACACAUGCAAGUCGAACGGCAGCACGGGAGCAAUCCUGGUGGCGAGUGGCGAACGGGUGAGUAAUAUAUCGGAACGUGCCCAGUCGUGGGGGAUAACGUAGCGAAAGCUACGCUAAUACCGCAUACGAUCUACGGAUGAAAGCGGGGGAUCGCAAGACCUCGCGCGAUUGGAGCGGCCGAUAUCAGAUUAGCUAGUUGGUGGGGUAAAAGCUCACCAAGGCGACGAUCUGUAGCUGGUCUGAGAGGACGACCAGCCACACUGGAACUGAGACACGGUCCAGACUCCUACGGGAGGCAGCAGUGGGGAAUUUUGGACAAUGGGCGCAAGCCUGAUCCAGCAAUGCCGCGUGCAGGAUGAAGGCCUUCGGUUGUAAACUGCUUUGUUACGGAACGAAACGGUGAGCUCUAAUAAAGACUUGCUAAUGACGGUACCGUAAGAAUAAGCACCGGCUAACUACGUG